rnacentral:tRNA from 1 species
GCGGGUGUAGUUUAGUGGUAAAACAUGAGCUUCCCAAGCUCACGUCGCGAGUUCGAUUCUCGUCACCCGCU